AUACAUAAUAAAAUUGAUAACCUCUGCUUUAUGAAAAACACAUCACCACCAUAGAAACAUUACUUCUCAAAAUAACAAGAUUUUGUAACUAAUAAUUUACCAGACUUUUUUGCAUUCAGUUCAUAUAGAAUUUGGUUUCAACACACACCUACAAGCAUAUUAUUGUUUUUUUGUUUUUUUUUUACUAUUAGGGGAAAUUCUUCAAUUUCCCCUAAGAAAAAUGAAAAUUCAUAUUUACCGUAAUUUUCUUUUCCUGGAUCCAUGACAGCUAAUGGGUAGCUCCUCCCCUCUCAACUAACAGGACAGGAAAUAGAAAUAAAGGUUUUGAAAGAGCCCUCCCUCUCCUAGCCCUCAGUCUAGUAACAAGAGAAAAUGGGGGAGUAACUGAUGCUGCCAUGGAUCUAACCAGGAAAAGAAAAUUCUGACAAGUAUGAAUACAAAUGUUCUUAUUCCUGCAGUAUCCAUGGCAACAUCACUAAUGGGUAAUACUCAAGCUAACUUUCUCAUAAUACACAUGUGAAACACAUUUACAAAUUAUAAGUAACAGAAUUGAGAACCUCACAAUCAAACUGAGAGUCCUUAGCCACCCUAACAUCAAGACAAUAGUGUUUCCUAAAUGUGUUAACUGACGCUCAAGUUGCAUCCCUGUAAUUACUUUUUUGAAUGAAUUUUAUAAAGAAUUCCCAGAUAGAAGAGAGAGCAUUAAAGGGACACUACAGUCACCAGGACAACUACAGCUUAUUGAAUUUGUUCUGGUGAGUAGAAUCCUUACCUUCAGGCUUUUUGCUGUGAACACUGUCUUUUCAGAGAAAAUGCAGUGUUUACAUUACAGCCUAGUGAUAACUUCGCUG